rnacentral:rRNA from 1 species
UACGGGGGGAGCAAGCGUUGUUCGGAUUUACUGGGCGUAAAGGGCGCGUAGGCGGUCAGCACAAGUCAGUUGUGAAAUCUCCGGGCUUAACUCGGAAAGGUCAACUGAUACUGUGCGACUAGAGUGCGGAAGGGGCAACUGGAAUUCUCGGUGUAGCGGUGAAAUGCGUAGAUAUCGAGAGGAACACCUGCGGCGAAGGCGGGUUGCUGGGCCGACACUGACGCUGAUGCGCGAAAGCCAGGGGA